rnacentral:rRNA from 1 species
UACGGAGGGUGCAAGCGUUAUCCGGAUUCACUGGGUUUAAAGGGUGCGUAGGUGGCGCUGUAAGUCGGGUGUGAAAUUUCGGAGCUUAACUCCGAAACUGCAUUCGAUACUGCGGUGCUCGAGGACUGGAGAGGAGACUGGAAUUCAUGGUGUAGCAGUGAAAUGCGUAGAGAUCAUGAGGAAGACCAGUGGCGAAGGCGGGUCUCUGGACAGUUCCUGACACUGAGGCACGGAGGCCAGGGGAGCAAACGGG